AUCAGGAAUAGGGGGACUUUUGCUAAAAG
rnacentral:piRNA from 1 species